CCAGCCCCGCCCGCGGCCGGCGGAGCCGCCGGAGCAGCGCGGGCCGCGGGCAGCGGCACGAGCGGCGGCCCCGCGAGCGGGGAGCGGCAUGUCCUGAGCCGGCGGCGGCGGCGGCGCGGAGCCGGGGCCCACCACGGAGGGGUCGGUGGAGCAGCGGGCCAAGGGCCGGGCCCCCAUGAAGGAGAAGGAGGCAGGGGCGGAGCGGGGCAAGCCCGCCACUUACACCGGGGACAAGAAGGCGCGCAUGGCGGCCAAGACCAACAAGAAGUGGGUGCGCCUGGCCACCGUGCUGGCCUACGUCCUCUCCGUCUCGCUGGCCGCCAUCGUCCUCGCCGUCUACUACAGCCUCAUCUGGCAGCCGGUGCGCGGCGGCUCCUCCGGCCCCGGCCCCGCCGCCGGCACCUCGCAGCCCCGCACCGCGCCGCCGUCGGGCCCCGCGGCCGGCCAGCCGCCCGCCGCGCCCACGCAGGAGGCCCCGCCGCCGCCGCCGCGGACGGGCCCGGGCCCCGGCUCCGACGCCGGCGUCGCCCAGACGGGCCGCCCGGCCGCCUCCCCGCUGCCGCCCGGGCCCGAGGCGGGGGCCGCCGCGCUGCGCCGGGUGCGUGGCAGCCCCUGAAGCGGCCGGCGGCGUCCCCCGCCCAUCUCCGCCCCACGGGGGCCCGGCGGGCGGUGGCUGCGAGACCCCCGGCGCGGCCGAGCGGCGGAGGGCUGGGGCUACACACCGCCGGGCCGCGGGGCCGGGCCGCGGGGCUUGGACUGGGAAGAACUGCGGCAUCUUUCUCCCCCCAUUUUUCCUCAAAAGGGAAUUUUGUGGCUUCGCUCCUUCCCUCGCCAGGGCUAGCUUCUCCUCGCGAACCCGCCGUAAUCCUGCGCUAUUUAUGCCCGUCUGUUACCUAGAAAAGGAUCUCGGUGUCCAAAAUUCCUCACUAUUUACAGGAUCAGCUGGGAACUGUACGAAUUUCGGGGCUGUAAUCCAUUGUUUAAAAACCGGUUUUGUUUAACAACGAGCAUAAACUUAUUUAAAAACAUGUGAAAGGUGAGGCUGGAGAAACCUCCAUACGCGCCUGACUCCCACUAACCGUGGGCAUCAGCUAAAGCAGUGGUGAUGAAAGCUUGAUCUUUCGUGGCAGAAGCAGGCGGAGGUCUCGCGGCGGCAUGCGGCACAGUGUGCUGCGAGGUGCUUCGUGGCUUGUGUGCCCCUGCUCUUGCCUGCAUGGGAUGGCAGAGCUUACAGAGCGUCAUGGCACCUCAGUGGCACCCUGGAGCCAGUGCCAUCAGGAG